UUCACAGCAAAAAUGUUUUUC
rnacentral:piRNA from 1 species